rnacentral:rRNA from 1 species
GACGAACGCUGGCGGCGUGCCUAAUACAUGCAAGUUGAGCGCUGAAGGUUGGUACUUGUACCAACUGGAUGAGCAGCGAACGGGUGAGUAACGCGUGGGGAAUCUGCCUUUGAGCGGGGGACAACAUUUGGAAACGAAUGCUAAUACCGCAUAAAAACUUUAAACACAAGUUUUAAGUUUGAAAGAUGCAAUUGCAUCACUCAAAGAUGAUCCCGCGUUGUAUUAGCUAGUUGGUGAGGUAAAGGCUCACCAAGGCGAUGAUACAUAGCCGACCUGAGAGGGUGGUCGGCCACAAUGGGACUGGGACACGGCCCAAACUCCUACGGGAGGCAGCAGUAGGGAAUCUUCGGCAAUGGACGAAAGGCUGGACGAGGAACGCCGCGUGAGUGGAGAAGGUUUUCGGAUCGUAAAACUCUGUUGGUAGAGAAGAACGUUGGUGAGAGUGGAAAGCUCAUCAAGUGACGGUAACUACCCAGAAAGGGACGGCUAACUACGUG